rnacentral:rRNA from 1 species
UACGAAGGGUGCAAGCGUUAAUCGGAAUUACUGGGCGUAAAGCGCGCGUAGGUGGUUCAGUAAGUUGGAAGUGAAAUCCCCGGGCUCAACCUGGGAACUGCUUUCAAAACUGCUGAGCUAGAGUACGGUAGAGGGUGGUGGAAUUUCCUGUGUAGCGGUGAAAUGCGUAGAUAUAGGAAGGAACAUCAGUGGCGAAGGCGACCACCUGGACUGAUACUGACACUGAGGUGCGAAAGCGUGGGGAGCAAACAGG